AGAGUUUGAUCMUGGCUCAGAUUGAACGCUGGCGGCAUGCCUUACACAUGCAAGUCGAACGGUAACAGCACUUCGGUGGCUGACGAGUGGCGAACGGGUGAGUAAUACAUCGGAACGUGCCCGAGAGUGGGGGAUAACGCAGCGAAAGCUGUGCUAAUACCGCAUACGAUCUACGGAUGAAAGCAGGGGACCGCAAGGCCUUGCGCUCAUGGAGCGGCCGAUGGCAGAUUAGGUAGUUGGUGGGAUAAAAGCUUACCAAGCCGACGAUCUGUAGCUGGUCUGAGAGGACGACCAGCCACACUGGGACUGAGACACGGCCCAGACUCCUACGGGAGGCAGCAGUGGGGAAUUUUGGACAAUGGGCGAAAGCCUGAUCCAGCCAUGCCGCGUGCAGGAUGAAGGCCUUCGGGUUGUAAACUGCUUUUGUACGGAACGAAAAGGUCUUUUCUAAUAAAGAAGGCUCAUGACGGUACCGUAAGAAUAAGCACCGGCUAACUACGUGCCAGCMGCCGCGGUAAUA
rnacentral:rRNA from 1 species